rnacentral:rRNA from 1 species
UACGAAGGGGGCGAGCGUUGUUCGGAAUUACUGGGCGUAAAGGGCGUGUAGGCGGCCCCUUUUGUCGCGUGUGAAAUCCCUCGGCUCAACCGGGGAACUGCGUCUGAUACUGGGUGGCUUGAAUCCGGGAGAGGGAUGCGGAAUUCCAGGUGUAGCGGUGAAAUGCGUAGAUAUCUGGAGGAACACCGGUGGCGAAGGCGGCAUCCUGGACCGGCAUUGACGCUGAGGCGCGAAAGCCAGGGGAGCAAACGGG